rnacentral:rRNA from 1 species
UACGUAGGGUGCGAGCGUUGUCCGGAAUUAUUGGGCGUAAAGGGCUCGUAGGCGGUUUGUCGCGUCGGGAGUGAAAUCCACUGGCUUAACUGGUGGCUUGCUUUCGAUACGGGCAGACUGGAGGUAUGCAGGGGAGAACGGAAUUCCUGGUGUAGCGGUGAAAUGCGCAGAUAUCAGGAGGAACACCGGUGGCGAAGGCGGUUCUCUGGGCCCUACCUGACGCUGAGGAGCGAAAGCGUGGGGAGCGAACAGG